AGCGAACGCUGGCGGCAGGCCUAACACAUGCAAGUCGAACGAAGUCUUCGGACUUAGUGGCGGACGGGUGAGUAACACGUGGGAACGUACCUUUUGGUUCGGAACGACUCAGGGAAACUUGAGCUAAUACCGGAUGAGCCCUUAGGGGGAAAGAUUUAUCGCCGAAGGAGCGGCCCGCGUUAGAUUAGCUAGUUGGUGAGGUAAAGGCUCACCAAGGCUACGAUCUAUAGCUGGUCUGAGAGGAUGAUCAGCCACACUGGGACUGAGACACGGCCCAGACUCCUACGGGAGGCAGCAGUGGGGAAUCUUGCGCAAUGGGCGAAAGCCUGACGCAGCCAUGCCGCGUGAAUGAUGAAGGUCUUAGGAUUGUAAAAUUCUGUUACCAGGGACGAUAAUGACGGUACCUGGAGAAAAAGCCCCGGCUAACUUCGUGCCAGCAGCCGCAGUAAUAC
rnacentral:rRNA from 1 species